rnacentral:rRNA from 1 species
AAGGUGGUUGCCUUCAGGAGUGACUUUCGGAGGUAACGCGUUAAAUCAGCCGCCUGGGGAGUACGGCCGCAAGGUUAAAACUCAAAUGAAUUGACGGGGGCCCGCACAAGCGGUGGAGCAUGUGGUUUAAUUCGAUGCAACGCGAAGAACCUUACCUACUCUUGACAUCCAGAGAAAUUAGCAGAGAUAGGUUAGUUCCUUCGGGAACUUUGAGACAGGUGGUGCAUGGCUGUCGUCAGCUCGUGUUGUGAAAUGUUGGGUUAAGUCCCGCAACGAGCGCAACCCUUAUCCUUUGUUUCCAACGAUUCGGUCGGGAACUCAAAGGAGACUGCCGGUGAUAACCCGGAGGAAGGUGGGGAUGACGUCAAGUCAUCAUGGCCCUUACGAGUAGGGCUACACACGUGCUACAAUGGCGUAUACAAAGAGAAGCGACCUCGCGAGAGCAAGCGGAACUCAUAAAGUCCUUCGUAGUCCGGAUUGGAGUCUGCAACUCGACUCCAUGAAGUCGGAAUCGCUAGUAAUCGUAGAUCAGAAUUCUCCGGUGAAUACGUUCCCGGGCCUUGUACACCCGCCCGUCCCCCAUG